rnacentral:rRNA from 1 species
GUAGGUGGCGAGCAUUAUUCGGAAUUACUGGGCGUAAAGGGUCCGCAGGUGGUUUACUAAGUCAGAUGUGAAAUUUCAGUGCUUAACACUGAACCUGCAUUUGAAACUGGUAGACUAGAGUAUGUGAGAGGUAAGCGGAAUUUGUGGUGUAGCGGUGGAAUGCGUAGAUAUCACAAGGAAGACCAAAGGCGAAGGCAGCUUACUGGCACAAUACUGACACUCAUGGACGAAGGCUAAGGGUAGCGAAAAGGAUUAGAUACCCUUGUAGUCUUAGCAGUAAACGUUGUACACUCGAUGUUGGUCUGGUUAGUCGGAUCAGUGUCUAAGCUAACGCGAUAAGUGUACCGCCUGGGAAGUACGGCGCAAGACUA